rnacentral:rRNA from 1 species
UAACCUGCCCAAGAGAUCGGGAUAACACCUGGAAACAGAUGCUAAUACCGGAUAACAACAGAUGAUGCCUAUCAACUGUUUAAAAGAUGGUUCUGCUAUCACUCUUGGAUGGACCUGCGGUGCAUUAGCUAGUUGGUAGGGUAACGGCUUACCAAGGCGAUGAUGCAUAGCCGAGUUGAGAGACUGAUCGGCCACAUUGGGACUGAGACACGGCCCAAACUCCUACGGGAGGCAGCAGGA